CGGGGUGUAGCGCAGUGAGGGUAGCGCACCUGCCUAAGUUGCUAAUGGCAGGAGGUCGGAGGUUCAAAUCCUUCCACCCCGA
rnacentral:tRNA from 1 species